rnacentral:rRNA from 1 species
AGAGAGAGACAUGCGCGCAUAUCAAUAAGCGGAGGAAAAGAAACUAACAAGGAUUCCCUUAGUAACGGCGAGUGAAGCGGGAAGAGCUCAAAUUUGAAAUCUUCAAGGUUCUACCUUGACGAAUUGUAGUUUAAAGAAGUGUUUUCGGUUAGAGGAGUUUAGUAAAAGUUCUUUGGAAUAGGACAUCAUAGAGGGUGAGAAUCCCGUAUUUGACCUAUUUCUUCCAGCUGUGUGAUACACUUUCAAAGAGUCGGAUUGUUUGGGAAUGCAGUCCAAAAUGGGUGGUAAAUUUCAUCUAAAGCUAAAUAUUGGCGAGAGACCGAUAGCGAACAAGCACCGUGAGGGAAAGAUGAAAAGAACUUUGAAAAGAGAGUUAAACAGUACGUGAAAUUGUCAAAAGGGAAGCGUUUGACACCAGUGUUGUUUUCUCGAAAAUCAAUUAAAGAAGGCUGGAUUUUAGUGUUGUAUUGACUUUAUCAGCUUACUGCACUAGUUUUCUUGUCUUUGUGAAUGCACUUUUCGUUUAACAAGUCAACUAUCAAUUUCUUUUGUUGUAAAAGGGUCAUUGGAAGGUGGCUUUCUUUUCGGAGAAAGUGUUUAUAGCCUUUGAUCUCUGCAACCGGAGAGACUGAGGUCUGCAGCGUAGACUCUUCGGGGUUAGGUACAUUUGUGCUAAGCUAUAGCUUUUUUUAGACAACUUGUUGACUAUAUUUAGUCUUGUGGCUUACUCGCUUAUGCUAUUUUACCUACGCUUAGGAUGUUGACAGCAGUAUAGACUGU